ACCUGGGUGGCUCAGAUGGUAGAGCAUGUGACUCUUGAUCUCAGGGUUGUGAGUUCAAGCCCCACACUGGGCA
rnacentral:tRNA from 1 species